GGGAGAGUGACGACUCAAAAUGACUUCCUUGACAGUCCUGUUCCCCUUUCAUCAAUGCACAGACCCAGAAGAUCCCUCUGUCCUGCAGCACCUGCCAUGAGCAUCGGCCUCCUGUGCUGUGCGGCCUUUUCUCUCUUGGGGGCAGGUCCUGCAAAUGCUGGUGUCACUCAGAGCCCAAAAUUCCAGAUCCUGAAGACAGGACAGAGCCUGACACUGCAGUGUGCCCAGGAUAUGAACCAUGACUCCAUGUACUGGUAUCGACAAGACCCAGGGAUGGGGCUGAGGCUGAUUCAUUACUCAGCUACCGAGGAUACCACUGACAAAGGAGAAGUCCCCGAUGGCUACAAUGUCUCCAGAUUAAACAAAAAGGAUUUCCGGCUCAGGCUGGAGUCGGCUGCUCCCUCCCAGACAUCUGUGUACUUCUGUGCCAGCAGUGAAGCCACAACAGGUUUCUAUGACUACACCUUCGGUUCAGGGACCAAGUUAACCGUUGUAGAGGACCUGAAAAAGGUGUUCCCACCCAAGGUCGCUGUGUUUGAGCCAUCAGAAGCAGAGAUCUCCCACACCCAAAAGGCCACGCUGGUGUGCCUGGCCACAGGCUUCUACCCCGACCACGUGGAGCUGAGCUGGUGGGUGAACGGGAAAGAGGUGCACAGUGGGGUCAGCACAGACCCACAGCCCCUCAAGGAGCAGCCCGCCCUCAACGACUCCAGAUACUGCCUGAGCAGCCGCUUGAGGGUCUCGGCCACCUUCUGGCACAACCCCCGCAACCACUUCCGCUGCCAAGUCCAGUUCUAUGGGCUCUCGGAGGAUGACGAGUGGACCGAGGACAGAGACAAGCCCAUCACCCAGAAGAUCAGCGCCGAGGCCUGGGGUAGAGCAGACUGUGGCUUCACCUCGGUGUCCUACCAGCAAGGGGUCCUGUCUGCCACCAUCCUCUAUGAGAUCCUGCUGGGGAAGGCCACCCUGUAUGCUGUGCUGGUCAGUGCCCUCGUGUUGAUGGCCAUGGUCAAGAGGAAGGAUUUCUGAAGGCAGCCCUGGAAGUGAAAUUAGGAGCUUCUAAAUCGUCAUGAUUUCAAUAUACAUUCUUCUUUUGCCAGUGCUUCUGAAGAGCUGCUGUCACCUCUCUGCACCCCAGUAGAUACCCCCUAUGUGCAUGCACACCUGCACACUCACGGAUGAAACCUCCCUAACCCAGGGGCACCUUAGCAUUCCUAAGUGACUAAGCCAAUAAAAAUGCUCUGAUCUGGCCUGA